AUGGUGGUUGAUGAGGUGGUCUGUGUAGCUGCUCUCAGCGAGAAGGGGCGUGCUGGUGGAAAGCUAGGGGAGGAAGAUAAUACCGGGAGGCAGAAGGAAGAGGGGGAAGAUGACUCAGGUAAGCAGAUGGGGAAUGAAAGUGUUAGGACUGAAAAACAAAGUGAGAAGAAGGGCAUGAAAUUCAAGAGAAAGCCGAGGGAACAUAAUGGGGGUGACCAGGGAAGCUUGGGGGCUCCAACGGGGAAGAGAAGUGGGGAGGAGAUGGAAGUGGAUGUUGAGCAUGCACCGAAGAAGGGCAAGAAGAAAGGAGGGGUAGACAGACCACAGCAAGCCAUGGAUAAAUUCAGAGAUGCAUUGUGUGAUUGUUUGCUGAUGGAUAUUGGUUUCGAGGGUGAUAUCUUUACGUGGCGCAACCAUGGGAAGACGCUUAAUACAUACAUUUGUGAACGGUUGGACAGAGCCACAUCAAACCGUGAAUGGUGUGAUCUAUUCCCGAGCUUCAGGGUAGUAAAUGGUUCACCUCGACACUCUGAUCAUAGGCCCGUUAUUGUUUGGACAAAGGGAGAGCAAAGGAGAGGCAGAGGAGGCGGUGAUAGUGGAUUCAGAUUUGAGGCACGUUGGUUCCAGGAGGAAGGUUGUCAAGAGUUAAUUCAGGAGGCAUGGGAGGAGAGUAGGGAGCAAGGAGGGGUGGAUGUCAUCGGAUCAAGGCUGAAGAGAGCGAAGGCUGACUUGGAAAGGUGUAUGAGGGAGACGGUGACAGAAGAGAAGAUUAAAGAAGAGGCGGAGUUGAGGUGCCAAGUUCAGAGGUUGGAGGAGAGGAAAUACACAAAGUACAAACAGAGAGCAUAUGUGUGGUGGCUUAGAAGAGGAGAUAGGAGCACACGGUACCUUAUGGCGAAGGCUUCGGCACGGCGCCGGAUAAAUACAAUAAAGGAGUUAAGAAGGGAGGAUGGGAUCUUUUCACCUCCACUAUGGGAGACCGAACCCAAGAACUGA
rnacentral:rRNA from 1 species